AACGGUGAACACGGAAGCUNGNNNNUGUGGGNNNNNUGGCGAACGGGUGAGUAACACGUGNGCAACCNGCCCCNGNCUCNNGGNUNNGCGCNGGNAACGGCGUCUAAUACNGGNUNNGNGNCGNGACCGCAUGGUCUGCGUCUGGAANGNNUNUCNGUNGGGGNNGGGCUCNCGGCCUAUCAGCUUGUUGGUGAGGUAAUGGNNNNNCAAGGCGUCNNCNGGUAGCCGGCCUGAGAGGGNGNCCGGCCACACUGGGACUGAGNCACGGCCCAGACUCCUACGGGAGGCAGCAGUGGGGANUAUUGCACAAUGGGCGCAAGCCUGAUGCAGCAACGCCGCGUGAGGGAUGACGGCCUUCGGGUUGUAAACCUCUUUUAGCAGGGAAGAAGCGAAAGUGACGGUACCUGCAGAAAAAGCGCCGGCUAACUACGUGCCAGCAGCCGCGGUAAUACGUAGGGCGCAAGCGUUAUCCGGAAUUAUUGGGCGUAAAGAGCUCGUAGGCGGUUUGUCGCGUCUGCUGUGAAAUCCGGAGGCUCAACCUCCGGCCUGCAGUGGGUACGGGCAGACUAGAGUGCGGUAGGGGAGAUUGGAAUUCCUGGUGUAGCGGUGGAAUGCGCAGAUAUCAGGAGGAACACCGAUGGCGAAGGCAGAUCUCUGGGCCGUAACUGACGCUGAGGAGCGAAAGGGUGGGGAGCAAACAGGCUUAGAUACCCUGGUAGUCCACCCCGUAAACGUUGGGAACUAGUUGUGGGGUCCAUUCCACGGAUUCCGUGACGCAGCUAACGCAUUAAGUUCCCCGCCUGGGGAGUACGGCCGCAAGGCUAAAACUCAAAGGAAUUGACGGGGACCCGCACAAGCGGCGGAGCAUGCGGAUUAAUUCGAUGCAACGCGAAGAACCUUACCAAGGCUUGACAUAUACGAGAACGGGCCAGAAAUGGUCAACUCUUUGGACACUCGUAAACAGGUGGUGCAUGGUUGUCGUCAGCUCGUGUCGUGAGAUGUUGGGUUAAGUCCCGCAACGAGCGCAACCCUCGUUCUAUGUUGCCAGCACGUAAUGGUGGGAACUCAUGGGAUACUGCCGGGGUCAACUCGGAGGAAGGUGGGGAUGACGUCAAAUCAUCAUGCCCCUUAUGUCUUGGGCUUCACGCAUGCUACAAUGGCCGGUACAAAGGGCUGCAAUACCGCGAGGUGGAGCGAAUCCCAAAAAGCCGGUCCCAGUUCGGAUUGAGGUCUGCAACUCGACCUCANGAAGUCGGAGUCGCUAGUAAUCGCAGAUCAGC
rnacentral:rRNA from 1 species